ACGCAUGCGCAUUUUUAUACAAUCACUUGAUUAUAAUUUAUGGAACAUUAUAGUCAAUGGAACACACACAAACACUAGUCAUAAUGAGAAAAUGGUUCAACAAAAUUCAAAAGCCAUGAACCUAUUAUAUUGUGCAUUAGAUAGGAAUGAGUUUAAUUGCAUAUCUUCUUGCAUGACUGCUAAAGAAAUAUGGAAUAUGCUUGA
rnacentral:lncRNA from 1 species